rnacentral:misc_RNA from 1 species
UUUUAUUUUAUUUUAUUUUUUUAUUAAAACAAAAUCCAAAAUCAUCCUCCUAAAGUCAUUAUCUCAAAAUGUCGAAGAUAACAAAAUAACUGAGAACAAAUUUGCCAACGAUUUAUUUUGGCUUUCGAAAUCUCACAUCCAUUCGGCGUUCUUUGAAUAAUUUUUUAGGAAAAAGGGAAAAAUGGGGAAUUUCACAAAUCGAAUAAUACUUUAAGCAUUAUCUUGAUUACGCAGGAUGAUGUUGUUUCGUAUCUAAUCCGCUUUUAGAGGUAAUACAAAAUAUUGGAUUGGGAUUUCUAAAUGAAAUAAUCAAGUAACGAGGUUAAUGAAACUUAUAGACAAGAGAUAUGAGCAGUGCCGAUUAUUGGUUUAAAUUUGGAGAAUGAAAAUUA